CUUUUUCAGAAAUUGUUAGUGACCGGUGACACACACACUGUUGAAGUAAUGAGAAGAAAAUAAACUGGACAUGAUGGAAAUAACGAACUCAUCUCACGUUUGUGUUAUUUGUAAGGGAAGUUUACAGAAAGAAAAAGCUAUUAUGCAGUUACGACUGAAAGGGUCUGCUGGUAUAAACAUUGCAAGCACUAAACGUGGUGAUAACAUACUCACUGUUCCAGGGUAAUAUGUUCACACAGAGUGUCUUCAAAAUUACUGUAAAUGUCAUUAAACGUGAUAGUAAAACAUCUUCACAUAUUCCUAUAUGUAAAUUGUGUUUACUAAGAUCUGGUAAUGAACAGUUUUGCUUUAAAGAACAGUGCUUGUUUUGUGGCCAAGCUGCAAAAUUAUCUGGAAAAAAGCGAAGAUUAUAUGUGUUUCCUGUCAGAAUUAUAGACUUCCAAAAUAGUAUUACCAAAGUAUGCAUUGAACGUGCUGAUAGGUGGGCUGAUGAGGUCCGAGGAUGACUGUAAAGUGUAAGUGACUUGCCAGCAGCAUAUGCUAUAUAUAUCAUCAGUCUUAUAGUAUCCAUUUUAGGACUAAGAAGUGUAUUCCGGAGGUAUUUUCACCAGAACAACAGACACAUAGUAAACGGUCGUGCGGAAUGCCUGUUCAUGCUAACUUAACACGAGGUUUUUUCUCUAUUGUCAGUUACCUUGAAGAAAAUGACAAUGAACAAAUUACGAUUAAAGAUCUUGUUGAAAAAAUGACAGAGCUUUGUGGCGAUGCUGCAUUUAGCCUAACCUGUAUGAAACGGAAAUUACAGAAACAUUUCGGAUCAUCGAUUGUUACUGAAAUACACGGAAAAAUCAAUGUUGUUACUUUAAGGAGCACGACAACUUCGAUUCUAUAUGAAUUCUACCAGCGCCAAAAGAGUGAGGAUAUUUGCAACUGAUGGGAAAGUUUGAGAUAACCAACAACGAGGUAUAUCAAUAUCUCAAAUCUGGACAUCAUGUUAUACGUAGAACUGAUAGGUAUUGGGCUGGAUUGUCAACGGAUUUUAUUAUCGAGCAAGUCUUAAUGAGAAGCGUGAAGACAAAUGGAGGCAUGACUAGAGGAAAGGGUAUGACAGAAACACAACGAGCUCAGUGGUUACUCUCAUUGCCAUCGUGUGCAGAGGUAAAUAACGCUAUGCAGGAUUUUAGUGGAACUGUUUAUUACACAAGUAAUCAACACAAGAGUGUGGCCAAGCCAGAAAGGAAAGGGACCACAAAGACACAAGUACUCCUAUAUUUUCUAAUAGAAAGAAAUCCGUUUAUCCAAGACCUCUCAUUACACAAUAUUGAAACCUGCGUGGCGUCUGAUUCAUCUGUAAAUGUUUACAACGCAAAAUAAAACGGAUCGAAAGUCUUACAAAAAA